rnacentral:rRNA from 1 species
GUGGGGAAUAUUGGACAAUGGGCGAAAGCCUGAUCCAGCCAUGCCGCGUGUGUGAAGAAGGUCUUCGGAUUGUAAAGCACUUUAAGUUGGGAGGAAGGGCAGUAAGUUAAUACCUUGCUGUUUUGACGUUACCGACAGAAUAAGCACCGGCUAACUUCGUGCCAGCAGCCGCGGUAAUACGAAGGGUGCAAGCGUUAAUCGGAAUUACUGGGCGUAAAGCGCGCGUAGGUGGUAUUGUAAGUUGGAGGUGAAAUCCCCGGGCUCAACCUGGGAACUGCCUACAAAACUGCAUGACUAGAGUACGGUAGAGGGUAGUGGAAGUUCCUGUGUAGCGGUGAAAUGCGUAGAUAUAGGAAGGAACACCAGUGGCGAAGGCGACUACCUGGACUGAUACUGACACUGAGGUGCGAAAGCGUGGGGAGCAAACAGGAUUAGAAACCCGGGUAGUCC